AGCAGUGACACGGGGUGCCCCGUCGGCGAGACCGAUCGGUGCUGAGAUAACACCCGUCGAACCUGAUCCAGUUAGCACUGGCGAAGGGAUGUCCGCGGUCGGUAAU
rfam:Cryobacterium sp. MLB-32 c166, whole genome shotgun sequence.